CGAUGAGUACUAAGUGUCGGGGAAACUCGGUACUGAAGUUAACACAUUAAGUACUCCGCCUGAGUAGUACGUACGCAAGUAUGAAACUUAAAGGAAUUGACGGGACUCCGCACAAGCGGUGGAUCAUGUUGUUUAAUUCGAAGAUACACGAAAAACCUUACCAGGUCUUGACAUACUCUGCAAAGCUAUAGCAAUAUAGUGGAGGUUAUCAGGGAUACAGGUGGUGCAUGGUUGUCGUCAGCUCGUGUCGUGAGAUGUUAGGUUAAGUCCUAAAACGAGCGCAACCCUUGUCACUAGUUGCCAGCAUGUUAUGAUGGGCACUUUAGUGAGACUGCCAAUGAAAAAUUGGAGGAAGGUGAGGAUCACGUCAAAUCAUCAUGCCCCUUAUGAUCUGGGCUACAAACGUGAUACAAUGGCUGUUACAAAGAGUAGCUAAAACGCGAGUUUAUAGCCAAUCUCAUAAAAGCAGUCUCAGUUCGGAUUGAAGUCUGCAACUCGACUUCAUGAAGUUGGAAUCGCUAGUAAUCGCGAAUCAGCAUGUCGCGGUGAAUACGUUCUCGGGGUUUGUACACACCGCCCGUCAAACCACGAAAGUUGGUAAUACUCGAAAACGGUAGCCUAACU
rnacentral:rRNA from 1 species